UCAGUGGCCGGCAGCCUACACAUGACAGUCGAGCGGUAGAGAGGUGCUUGCACCUCUUGAGAGCGGCGGACGGGUGAGUAAUACCUAGGAAUCUGCCUGGUAGUGGGGGAUAACGUUCGGAAACGGACGCUAAUACCGCAUACGUCCUACGGGAGAAAGCAGGGGACCUUCGGGCCUUGCGCUAUCAGAUGAGCCUAGGUCGGAUUAGCUAGUUGGUGAGGUAAUGGCUCACCAAGGCUACGAUCCGUAACUGGUCUGAGAGGAUGAUCAGUCACACUGGAACUGAGACACGGUCCAGACUCCUACGGGAGGCAGCAGUGGGGAAUAUUGGACAAUGGGCGAAAGCCUGAUCCAGCCAUGCCGCGUGUGUGAAGAAGGUCUUCGGAUUGUAAAGCACUUUAAGUUGGGAGGAAGGGCAUUAACCUAAUACGUUAGUGCUUUGACGUUACCGACAGAAUAAGCACCGGCUAACUCUGUGCCAGCAGCCGCGGUAAUACAGAGGGUGCAAGCGUUAAUCGGAAUUACUGGGCGUAAAGCGCGCGUAGGUGGUUUGUUAAGUUGAAUGUGAAAUCCCCGGGCUCAACCUGGGAACUGCAUCCAAAACUGGCAAGCUAGAGUAUGGUAGAGGGUGGGUGGAAAUUUCCUGUGUAGCGGCUGAAAUGCGUAGAUAUAGGAAAGGAACACCAGUGGCGAAAGCGACCACCUGGGACUGAUACUGACACUGAGUGCGAAAGCGUGGGGAGCAACAGGAUUAGGAUACCCUGGUAGUCCCACGCCGUACACGAUGUCAACUAGCCCGUUUGGGGAGUCUUGAAACUCUUAGUGGCGCAGCUAACGCAUUAAGUUUGACCGCCUGGGGAGUACGACGCACGGGUGAUACUCAAUGAAUUGACGGUGCCCGCCACAAGCGAUCGCAGCCAUGCUGCUUAGUCCGAAGCAAUCGCGAGAGCCUAGCUAGACAUUGUACAUUCCUAACU
rnacentral:rRNA from 1 species